UACGAAGGGGGCUAGCGUUGUUCGGAUUUACUGGGCGUAAAGCGCACGUAGGCGGAUUGUUAAGUCAGGGGUGAAAUCCUGGAGCUCAACUCCAGAACUGCCUUUGAUACUGGCAAUCUUGAGUCCGGAAGAGGCGAGUGGAACUCCUGGUGUAGCGGUGGAAUGCGCAGAUAUCAGGAAGAACACCAACGGCGAAGGCAGCUCGCUGGGACGGUACUGACGCUGAGACGCGAAAGCGUGGGGAGCGAACAGG
rnacentral:rRNA from 1 species